UAACGCGUGAAGUAACCGCCUGGGAGUACGUCGCAAGAUUAAACUCAAAGGAAUUGACGGGACCCGCACAAGCGGUGGAUGAUGUGGAUAAUUCGAUGCAACGCGAAAAACCUUACCUACCCUUGACAUGCCACUAACGAAGCAGAGAUGCAUUAGGUGCCCGAAAGGGAAAGUGGACACAGGUGCUGCAUGGCUGUCGUCAGCUCGUGUCGUGAGAUGUUGGGUUAAGUCCCGCAACGAGCGCAACCCUUGCCGAUAGUUGCUACGAAAGGGCACUCUAUCGGGACUGCCGGUGACAAACCGGAGGAAGGUGGGGAUGACGUCAAGUCCUCAUGGCCCUUAUGGGUAGGGCUUCACACGUCAUACAAUGGUCGGUACAGAGGGCUGCCAACCCGCGAGGGGGAGCUAAUCCCACAAAACCGAUCGUAGUCCGGAUUGGAGUCUGCAACUCGACUCCAUGAAGUCGGAAUCGCUAGUAAUCGUGGAUCAGCAUGUCACGGUGAAUACGUUCCCGGGUCUUGUACACACCGCCCGUCACACCAUGGGAGUGGGGUCCACCAGAAGCCGUUUGCCUAACCGCAAGGAGGGCGGCGACCACGGUGAGCUUCAUGACUGGGGUGAAGUCGUAACAAGGUAACCGUA
rnacentral:rRNA from 1 species